CGGAAGGAUCAUUACCUAGAGUUGUAGGCUUUGCCUGCUAUCUCUUACCCAUGUCUUUUGAGUACCUUACGUUUCCUCGGUGGGUUCGCCCACCGAUUGGACAAACUUAAACCCUUUGCAGUUGAAAUCAGCGUCUGAAAAAACUUAAUAGUUACAACUUUCAACAACGGAUCUCUUGGUUCUGGCAUCGAUGAAGAACGCAGCGAAAUGCGAUAAGUAGUGUGAAUUGCAGAAUUCAGUGAAUCAUCGAAUCUUUGAACGCACAUUGCGCCCCUUGGUAUUCCAUGGGGCAUGCCUGUUCGAGCGUCAUUUGUACCUUCAAGCUCUGCUUGGUGUUGGGUGUUUGUCUCCUGUAGACUCGCCUUAAAACAAUUGGCAGCCGGCGUAUUGAUUUCGGAGCGCAGUACAUCUCGCGCUUUGCACUCAUAACGACGACAUCCAAAAGUACAUUUUUACACUCUUGACCUCGGAUCAGGUAGGGAUACCCGCUGAACUUAAGCAUAUCA
rnacentral:rRNA from 1 species